GACGAACGCUGGCGGCGCGCUUAACACAUGCAAGUCGAACGGUAAGGCCCUUCGGGGUACACGAGUGGCGAACGGGUGAGUAACACGUGGGUGAUCUGCCCUGCACUUCGGGAUAAGCCUGGGAAACUGGGUCUAAUACCGGAUAGGACUCCGGACUGCAUGGUCUGGGGUGGAAAGCUUUUGCGGGGUGGGAUGGGCCCGCGGCCUAUCAGCUUGUUGGUGGGGUGAUGGCCUACCAAGGCGACGACGGGUAGCCGGCCUGAGAGGGUGACCGGCGACACUGGGACUGAGAUCCGGCCCAGACUCCUACGGGAGGCAGCAGUGGGGAAUAUUGCACAGUGGGCGCAAGCCUGAUGCAGCGACGCCUCGUGAGGGAUGACGGCCUUCGGGUUGUAAACCUCUUUCAGCAUCGACGAAGCGAAAGUGACGGUAGGUGCAGAAGAAGGACCGGCCAACUACGUGCCAGCCGCCGCGGUAA
rnacentral:rRNA from 1 species